rnacentral:misc_RNA from 1 species
GAUGAAGAACGUAGCGAAAUGCGAUAAGUAAUGUGAAUUGCAGAAUUCAGUGAAUCAUCGAAUCUUUGAACGCACCUUGCGCCUCUUGGUAUUCCGAGAGGCAUGCCUGUUUGAGUGUCAUGAAUCAUCAAUCCCACGGGUUUCUCACCCGUGUGGACUUGGAACUGGGCGUCUGCCUCCCAAGGCUCGCCUCAAAUGACUUAGUGGGAACUUCUCGACCUACGCCUGACGUGAUAAGUUUCGUCUCGGCCGGUCCUGAGGCCCGCUCACAACCACCAAUCUUUUGACAUUGACCUCAAAUCAGGUAGGGCUACCCGCUGAACUUAAGCAUAUCAAUAAGCGGAGGA